rnacentral:rRNA from 1 species
UUAUGGGUUUAAAGGGUGCGUAGGCGGUCUUGUAAGUCAGUGGUGAAAUCUCCGGGCUCAACCGGAACGUGCCAUUGAUACUGCAGGACUGGAAUGUGGAUGCCGUUUGCGGAAUGUGUGGGUAGCGGUGAAAUGCAUAGAUAUCACACAGAACACCGAUUGCGAAGGCAGCAGACGAAUCAUGAUUGACGCUGAGGCACGAAAGUGUGGGGAUCAAACAGGAUUAGAUACCCUGGUAGCCACACAGUAAACGAUGAUGACUCGCUGUCGGCGAUAUACAGUCGGUGGUCAAGAGAAACGAUAAGUCAUCCACCUGGGGAGUACGACCGCAAGGUUGAAACUCAAAGGAAUUGACGGGGCCCGCACAAGCGGAGGAACAUGUGGUUUAAUUCGAUGAUACGCGAGGAACCUUACCCGGCUCGAACGGCUGGUGAACGACUCAGAGAUGAGGAGGUCCUUCGGGACGCCAGUCGAGUGCUGCAUGGUUGUCGUCAGCUCGUGCCGUGAGGUGUCGGCUUAAGUGCCAUAACGAGCCAACCCUUGCUGAUAGUUACCAUCAGGUAAUGCUGGGGACUCUAUCAGGACUGCCGCCGAAGGUGAGAGGAAGGGGGGGAUGACGUCAAAUCAGCACGGCCCUUACGUCCGGGGCGACCACGUGUUACAAUGGCAGGUACAGAGGGCGGCCAGGCAGCGAUGCCGCGCAAAUCUCGAAGCCUGUCUCAGUUCGGAUUGGAGUCUGCAACUCGACUCCAUGAAGUUGGAUUCGCUAGAAUCGCGCAUCAGCCAUGGCGCGGUGAAUACGUUCCCGGGCCUUGCACACACCGCCCGU